GAUGAAGAACGCAGUGAAAUGCGAUAAGUAAUGUGAAUUGCAGAAUCUCGUGAAUCAUCGAAUCUUUGAACGCACAUUGCGCCCUAUGGAAUUCCGUAGGGCAUGCCUGUCUGAGCGUCAGCUCCCUCACACUCGAACCUUUGUAAAAAAGGUUUGGAUAUUGAAGAGGUAAUUAUAAAAUAAGUUAACUACCUUUCAGAAAUACAGAGGCAGUAUCAUUGCACUUAAAUCAAACGUGAUAGUUCUAUUAUAUAUCGUUUCUUUUAGGGAGCAUAACACUAGCCUUAUUAACCCACUGAAAGAAUUAAAUUCAUGGGUGACCUCAGAUCAGGUAGGGAUACCCGCUGAACUUAAGCAUAUCAAUAAGCGGAGGA
rnacentral:misc_RNA from 1 species